rnacentral:misc_RNA from 1 species
GAAAAUUACAAAAGGUUGGCUACGGGCCUAAGUCCAACUACAACAAAACCAAAUAGGCCCACAAAGAUCACCGCUUGAGUUCCACUGCACAAAACCACUAGCAAGCAAAAGUGAAUACCCACAGGCACCAUCUCCCCACCACCAUUACCUAAACAUAAAUAGAAAUAGGAGCCAAAGAAAAAUAGAAUCCCGAUCAAGGCUACAAAAUAGAGAUUUAGCACAAAACAAUCCAAAACUCAAAGAUAGGGUGUUCUAACAGCCCACUUCAUCGCCACCUCUGUCGCUUAAGGAAACACAAAGCCCAGCCAAAGAUUGAGCAUUCUGCACUAAAAACACCACUGAGGCACUACCACAGGGGAUAGCAGCAUCUGCUCUAAAUGAAGGGGGGUGCUAGACGACAUGAUGAGACCUACCACCUAUAACGUAUUUAACCCCAAGCCGGAUGUUAUCCCAGAAAAGCUCAGACCUUUAUUUCUUUGUUCCAUCCAAGAUCACCUCAGAACGUACACGUCAACACAAAUCAACAAAUGGACCUUCAUUUGAAACACCACGAUCUGAAACAACCAAACCAAACAGACAAAACAGCCACUAUGUACACCCCGACCAUAGGCAGGGAAGGUCAACCCACCUUCUAGGUUAGGGAAGGGCCUUCUCCUUGCCAGAGAGGGAGAGCAAGAUUCACCGAGGGCAAUCGCUCGAAAAAACCAAACUAUAAUGCAAAAGAGAGAAAAAU